GCUGGUGCAACAGUUAUUUACAAUACAACUGAAUAACUGGAUUCAUGGAAAUGAAUGCAUUGUCAGGUUUACAAUGACUCAAAAACAGGUGAGAAAGUGAAUGCCAUGUCCUUUAAGAUGCUGAAGGUGCUGAGAGAGGGUGACAAUAAGAGACAGCUAGGGCACUGAAAUGUCACAGGAAAAGAAAAUCACGCUGUUCCACAGGACAAUAAAAAGAAGAAAGUCCAAAUCAAGUCC